AAAGCAUCGGUGAAGAAGCAUCGCUUGAACGCUCAUUCAUUUAAUAUCAUCCUUUACAGGAACGCUAUAUUGGAGGAAGAAUACAGUGACAGCAAAAAGAUGACCCUGAUAUCUGCCAGCACACAACCUGAUGACAUCUCUGAGGGAUUCUGCAAGGGGCUCCCAAACUUUUGCAUGCAACUGUAUGUGUUUGGCAGAUGCUUUUGGUCAGAGCAACAUAUUGCGACUUAUAAGCAUGGCCACAAUGAAAGCACCGGUAAUAAUGGAGUCUGCAGGUUUCUGCCAGCACUAAAGUGAAGCCGCGACCUCUAUUAGAGUUAACGCUUGCGUCCAGUGAAGUCUUCAGCGACUGGGUGUGCUGUUCUAACGUCCAAACCACCUCUGUGUGGUUGUGUAUACAUGAGGAAUAACAGGCUCUUGAGUUUUUGUGUAAGUCUGGCUAAAGGUCAUUGUGUGGGAUCUGUCAGUGAGGGAAGCCUUGGCAUUUAUAACCUGCAGCAACAUGCAGAAAACACACACACACACACACACACACACACACACACACACACACACACAC
ensembl:lncRNA